rnacentral:rRNA from 1 species
CGCGUAGGAAUCUACCCAGUAGUGGGGACAACUUGGGGAAACCCAAGCUAAUACCGCAUACGCCCUACGGGGAAAGCGGGGACCUUCGGGCCUCGUGCUAUUGGAUGAGCCUGCGUUGGAUUAGCUAGUUGGUGGGGUAAAGGCCCACCAAGGCGACGAUCCAUAGCUGGUCUGAGAGGAUGAUCAGCCACGCUGGAACUGAGACACGGUCCAGACUCCUACGGGAGGCAGCAGUGGGGAAUAUUGCACAAUGGGGGAAGCCCUGAUGCAGCCAUGCCGCGUGUGUGAAGAAGGCCUUCG